AGCUCCAAUAGCGUAUAUUAAAGUUGUUGCGGUUAAAAAGCUCGUAGUUGGAUUUCUGUCGAAGACGGUCGGUCCGCUCUAUGAGCGUGCAUCUGAUUCGGCUUUGGCAUCCUCGUGGGGAACGUAACUGUGCUUGAUUGCAUGGUGCGGAAUUCACGACUUUUACUUUGAGGAAAUUAGAGUGUUCACGGCAGGCAAUCGCCUUGAAUACAUUAGCAUGGAAUAAUAAGAUAGGACCUGAGUUCUAUUUUGUCGGUUUCUAGAGCUUAGGUAAUGAUUAACAGGGAUAGUUGGGGGCAUUCGUAUUUAACUGUCAGAGGUGAAAUUCUUGGAUUUGUUAAAGACGAACUACUGCGAAAGCAUUUGCCAAGGAUGUUUUUCAUUGAUCAAGAACGAAAGU
rnacentral:rRNA from 1 species